CACGUCCCCACGCCCCUCGCUCCUUCCUCCCUCACCCGCCGCCGCUCCCUCCCACCUCCUCCUCCUCCUUCUUCUGCGCCCUAGGAGCCCCGCCGCCGCCCUGCUGCUACUCCUCCACCGGCCCACCUCUUCCUCCUCCCCGCCUUCCAUCGCUCGCGUGCAGGCCAUCGUGGCCACGCGCUUUGCGGGUGAACCCGACCGGCCCGUCACUGUUGGCUCGAGCUGCUGGGAAGAGGGAGGAGUCUGGAGACAGCGUGCAGGCACAGGCCGUGCCUGGUGAGGCGGCGCCGCCGGCCAUGGGACACUGGACCUCGGGGAGCCCCAUCCUAGGCCCGCGCCCAAAUUCUUGGGCAGGGGAGGAUAGAUCGACGAUGGCGGAUCACAUAAGGGAAUGGGAGAUCGAGGAGAAGGGAGACGAGGGUGGGUGGUGGCUUGCAGCAUGGGGCGGGCACGUCCAACGAGGGUGGUGUUCUGUGGAUCUGCUGCCCCCUCUCCUUUGGCGACCUCCUCCUCCUCAUCUGCUGCCGAUGGCUGUGAGUUCACGGCUGCUCCGGAGCUCCAACGAGCCAAGUUGUGUGCAAAUCCGACAAAGAAGAGAAAAGGAAGAAUAUUGAGGAAGAGUUUUGGUGAAGAAGAACAAAUGGAAGGAUCGGUUUUUAUGGCAUGGACUACAAAGGAGAGAAGUGGACCGUGUGAACGUAGUACAACAUUGUUGUUAGUUCGCGCAGUCGAGGUCUGCUCAGGAAGACACAGUUCGAUCGAACAACUGUUGUGUUUUCCCAGUUGUUUGCAAAUCCGACGAAAAGGAGCAAAGAAAGAAUAUUGAGGAAUAUUUAGGUAAAGAAGAACAAGUGCAUUUAUGUUGCUUCCUGCAAGGUCAAUGAUAUGGAGCCAGUUGGAAUUCAUAUUCAAGCUAAUACAGUGACUAAAUUUGGCGAGCAGCGAGUGCCUGAUCAAGAUCUAUGGGAGGGUAACGGUUAUUAUAAUAAUUGAGUGUACCCAAUGGAGGCUGCAUUACAUAAUUAAUCGGAGGGUAUGGAUCGGUGAUGUCGAUGCCCAUAGAGCCAUUACCUCAUGCAUGAUGUGUGUUUUUGUGUGCCAGUUUGCUGGUUAGUGAGUGAUAAUAUUCUGAUGAAUGUUUCAUCAGUGUAGCAAGUGAUCAGCAAUAGACAACUCUUACUUUUGGAUUGAAGUGCAGAUCUUGCUAAUGAGUUAACUAUUGACUCAUUUAUGUAUUCUUAUGCCCCAAUGCUUCAUUAAGUAUUCCUAUUUCUGCAACAUAAAAUUAUUUCUUACCAUCUUCUAUUGUUUUCCUCUAUUUUUAUAGUUAUUCAGAGAACACAA